AAUUAGCCCUGAUUGAAAUGGAAAUCUCCCGAUUUUUUAUCGGGAAUUGCAAUGGAAAGCAGGAAUACGG
rnacentral:sRNA from 1 species